rnacentral:RNase_P_RNA from 1 species
AGAGCCAGCCAGGCAAUCGCGGCGGUGCAAACCGUCGAGGAAAGUCCGGGCUCCACAGGGCGGGAUGCCAGGUAACACCUGGGGGGCGUGAGCCCACGGAAAGUGCAACAGAAAAUAUACCGCCUCGUUCGCGAGGUAAGGGUGAAAUGGUGCGGUAAGAGCGCACCGCGCCGCCGGCAACGGCGUGUGGCAGUGCAAACCCCAUCCGGAGCAAGACCAAAUAGGGAUCCUUUGUCGCGGCCCGCGAUGGAUCCGGGUAGGUCGCUAGAGGCGUGCGGUGACGUACGCACCAGAUGAAUGAUUGCCCACGACAGAACCCGGCUUACCGGCUGGCUCUAAUU